rnacentral:misc_RNA from 1 species
GACGUAGGGUGCAAGCGUUGUCCGGAAUUAUUGGGCGUAAAGAGUUCGUAGGCGGUUUCUUAAGUCUGAUGUUAAAGCCCGGAGCUCAACUCCGGCAUGGCAUUGGAAACUGGGUGACUAGAGUGUGGCAGAGGUCACGGGAAUUCCUGGUGUAGCGGUGAAAUGCGUAGAUAUCAGGAGGAACACCGGUGGCGAAAGCGCGUGACUGGGCCAUAACUGACGCUGAGGAACGAAAGCCAGGGGAGCGAAAGGG